GUCAAAUAUGCCGCACUAUCAUUCUUCGCUGAUCAAUUCUACCCCUCUUUGUCCAGGUUGGCACAAGGUGAUGACACAGCAAACUGGCUUUUGCAACCAAUAAGAGAGAGCAAUUUGCAGUUGUUUGCUCUUAUUUCUCUAUGGAUUUCAAGCAAAAUACAUGAUUCUCGUCCACUGUCUGUGAAAAGUUUGAAGUCUUUGGGAGACAAGAAUAUCAAGGAACAACAUUUUAUUACUCGAGAUUUCUUAGAAACAG